UACGGGGGGAGCAAGCGUUGUUCGGAUUUACUGGGCGUAAAGGGCGCGUAGGCGGCCACUGCAAGUCGGUUGUGAAAUCUCCGGGCUUAACCCGGAAAGGUCAAUCGAUACUGCAGGGCUAGAGUGCAGAAGGGGCAACUGGAAUUCUCGGUGUAGCGGUGAAAUGCGUAGAUAUCGAGAGGAACACCUGCGGCGAAGGCGGUUCUCUGGGCCUUACCUGACGCUGAGGAGCGAAAGCGUGGGGAGCGAACAGG
rnacentral:rRNA from 1 species